GGAGGGUCCGAGCGUUAAUCGGAAUUACUGGGCGUAAAGCGUGCGCAGGCGGUUUGUUAAGCGAGAUGUGAAAGCCCUGGGCUCAACCUAGGAAUAGCAUUUCGAACUGGCGAACUAGAGUCUUGUAGAGGGGGGUAGAAUUCCAGGUGUAGCGGUGAAAUGCGUAGAGAUCUGGAGGAAUACCGGUGGCGAAGGCGGCCCCCUGGACAAAGACUGACGCUCAUGCACGAAAGCGUGGGGAGCAAACAGGAUUAGAUACCCUGGUAGUCCACGCCGUAAACGAUGUCUACUCGAAGUUUGGUGUCUUGAACACUGGGCUCUCAAGCUAACGCAUUAAGUAGACCGCCUGGGGAGUACGGCCGCAAGGUUA
rnacentral:rRNA from 1 species